UAAAAAAGGCAAUAUCAUGAUGCAUGAACUGGAACCUUCAGAUUUAUGGCUAGUUAUACGUCGCGCUACAAUCUGUUAUGGCACGCCCGACUCUCCUGGCAAGACUCGGAUAUCCAUCUUAGUAAACUUUCAUUUCGUGGUUUAUUUAUAUUAAGAAGAAGCAAAGCCUGCCUUCCAAUACCGUUUUCCUUGUUUUGGAAGCCAUUGAGAUUUUAUAGUAGAACUUUUUAUUGACAUUUACGGCACACCUCUAACGGCAAAUAACAAAUCGCAUUUGAAGAUAAGUUCUACAAGUUUUCGAGAGGUAAGUAUCGUUCAUGCUUCGAUUUUAACCAUUCACAAAUUGCCCUGAAUUCAAACAGCUAACAGUGACCUCAAACUUGCCCAUUUGCAGUCUACCGUAAACAUCACUCCUAAGGUCUCCCAUUGCUUUAUUAAUCCAGUGUCUGAAAUGUCUCCUGCAAUAAUUCAUGAUUUCUAGCACUCUGAAACUCCGCGCUGUGAAAUGUGGAGUCGUGCAUUUCGGAGACGUGCAUGGGCCUUUAACUUGACAUUUAUUUGGUAUAAACUUCACAUGUAUGUUUACUGAUUAAAGAAAUAUAUGCACAAAAUUUAUAUGAUCACGAGCACGGAGUGAUAAACACGGACAGUCAGCUUAGUUCAGUUUAAAACUGCUUGUUUACUAGUAUUUAAUUUCUAGCAAACUUUAACAUAUCUUGUUGGUUGUAACCAGUUACUUACUUACAUUUUAGUAUAUAAUUUUCUGCAUGCAAAAACCUAGAAUCUUUUGUGCGUAAAUUGGUGAUAGAUCACACUGUAAAAUCAUAUGAUGAUUAGAAUCUUUGUACCAUCUAUAACGAAGUAAUAAUAUUAAAGUUUUUGAGAGGUACUGCUGGCCUCUUCAUCAGUUUGUCCAUAAUUAUCAUAAUUGGUCGACUUGGAUGGCAUGGUAGCUAAACCCAUGGUCACGGGACCAACUCUUGAACGUUUUACAUAUGCUGCUUGCCGAUUCUGAA